rnacentral:misc_RNA from 1 species
UCUCCGUAGGUGAACCUGCGGAGGGAUCAUUACAGAGUUCUCGCCCUCGCGGGUAGAUCUCCCACCCACUGUUAUCGUUACUGUGUUGCUUUGGCGGGCCGCCGGGCCCCGCUCGGUCGCCGGCUCCGGCUGGCGCGCGCCCGCCAGAGGCCCAGCAAACUCUGAAUGUUAGUGUCGUCUGAGUACUAUAUAAUAGUUAAAACUUUCAACAACGGAUCUCUUGGUUCUG